rnacentral:rRNA from 1 species
UAACAAGGUCUCCGUUGGUGAACCAGCGGAGGGAUCAUUACCGAGUUUACAACUCCCAAACCCCUGUGAACAUACCACUUGUUGCCUCGGCGGAUCAGCCCGCUCCCGGUAAAACGGGACGGCCCGCCAGAGGACCCCUAAAACUCUGUUUCUAUAUGUAACUUCUGAGUAAAACCAUAAAUAAAUCAAAACUUUCAACAACGGAUCUCUUGGUUCUGGCAUCGAUGAAGAACGCAGCAAAAUGCGAUAAGUAAUGUGAAUUGCAGAAUUCAGUGAAUCAUCGAAUCUUUGAACGCACAUUGCGCCCGCCAGUAUUCUGGCGGGCAUGCCUGUUCGAGCGUCAUUUCAACCCUCAAGCACAGCUUGGUGUUGGGACUCGCGUUAAUUCGCGUUCCUCAAAUUGAUUGGCGGUCACGUCGAGCUUCCAUAGCGUAGUAGUAAAACCCUCGUUACUGGUAAUCGUCGCGGCCACGCCGUUAAACCCCAACUUCUGAAUGUUGACCUCGGAUCAGGUAGGAAUACCCGCUGAACUUAAGCAUAUCA